UAUGGAGCUUUAAUUUUUUAAUUCAAUAUUUUCACAAUUUUACUCCAUAGGAGCCUAACCAAGAAAAUUUCUGAAUUAAAAAUUUUGGUUGGGGUGACCUCGGAGCAAAAACUAACCUCCGAAUGAUUUAAGCCUAGACCCAACAAGUCAAAGCAUUAAAAAUCAUAAAUUGACCCAAAUCCUUUUUGAUCAACGGAACAAGUUACCCUA
rnacentral:rRNA from 1 species